CAACCCUCGAACCUCCGUUUCCUCAGGGAAGCCCAGGGUCGGUGUUGGGGCGCUACGGCGAGUCUUCGCGACCCCCGUAGGCCCUGAAAUACAGUGGCGGUCCCGCCGCGGUUGCCUUCUGCGUAGUAAGUCUCUUUUGCAAGCUCGCAUUGGGUCCCGGCGGAGGCCUGCCGUCAAACCACCUAACAACUCCAGAUG
rnacentral:rRNA from 1 species